rnacentral:lncRNA from 1 species
UCUUCCUCACCCUCUUUUUUCUAUCUCAUCUUUUUUCCAGCAACACAACAUCAACACAACAACAACACAACAAUCUCUUCUUCUCUUCUUUCCUGGUUGUUCCAAUCCAUCCCCUUCUCAUCAAUUUUCAAUUUUUGGAUCAAGCAUCAACAACACAUCAAUUACAACACAUCAUUAACAACAACAACAACACAAAAUUCUUCUUUAACCCAAUUCCAAACCAGAAAAACAAAAUCAAAUGAAAUUUGAUUCGGAAACAACAACAACUUCAACGUAAAACAACAACAACAACUUCUUUAAAAACAAAUCAUCAAAUUAAAAAUCAACCCAGAUUGCUUCCUCUUCCAAUCGAAAAUCAAACCCAAGUGGUUAAAAAUCAAUUCCAUGUAUGAAGAAUCAAAAACCCAUAUUCAAAAAUUCUCUCUUUCAAAAUUCGAAAAUCCUCUCUUUCAAUUUCUUGACUGUGUUGCUGUUUCUUGAUUGGAGGGGUGGAGGGUAUGAUCUGGAAGAAAAGAAAUAGAGAGAAGAGAAAAGAGAAGAGAAGGAAGAAGAAAAGGAAUAACAAAAAGAGAGAAAGUGGGAUAGAAUAGAAGGAAGAAGAGAAUAGAGAAGAGAAUGAUGAAGAUAAUAGAAGGAAGAAGAAAAGAAAGAAGAUAAACAGAGAAGGUGGGAGAUAAGAGAAGGAAGAAGAGAGAAGGGGAUUACGCUGGAGAAGAAGAGAGAAAAAGAAAUGAGAUUUUUUUUUUUUUAAUUUAUCAUUAAG